CACAUUUCAAGGUCGACCAUGCAUCUGACAACUUCAUGGGCUCCAGUGGAGCUGCAUUUCUUGUUCCAAGUUGAUUCAGAAGUCAGAAUGCAGGGAAAAGAAACAGGGAAAACAAAUGCAGGGAAAGAACUCAAGAAAGGGAAACUCACCAUUGGUUUGUAACCAUUUGAGAUGAGAAGUACCUGGCUCAUAAAGCUGUUGGCAAACAUGGAUUGAAGGAGGUUGCACCGCUUCAUGGCCAGCCUGUAUUUUGACUGUAUUAUGCCAUGCACAAGACUGUUGAACGAUCAGGUUGUUUCAGCCUACUGAAAAUGGUAUUCACAUUUAUGGUACUGGUGGAAGAAUGAAGAGAAGUUUGUAUAUGGGUCUGUAACUUUCCAGAAUAUGCUAAUUCACUGCUCUUAAAUAAAAUGUACAAAUCCAGGUCUUCUUGUUGUGCCAACAUCUCUGGUUAAUGUUUCAGUCUUAUACUGUUCAUCCAGAUUCCUACUUCUCAGUACACAGGCAUCAUCUUCUGAAUGAUUUAAUAACAGCUUGUAAGCUGUACCUUUUGCAACCUACAUCACUUUCAGAAAUUUGAAUAAGAAUGGAUUUCAUUUCUAGCUUGAUUUAUUCAGCUGGGUUUACCAUUAGAAUAUUUGUUAAUUCAAGGUUGGUUUAAUUGAAACUAUGGAGAAAUAUUGUCAUUUCAUUAAAACUUUAUCCAUUAAAGUCAAGCUUCUAGAAAGAUGUAUAAAACCUUCCAGAGGUUUUAACUUGUUUUACAUGCUGGAACUAAUGCUUGAGGCUGAAUUGUAUGCAGUAGGUAAAAAAAAAAAGAUGGUUACGCUACUUCUUUUCAGUCUUUGUCUCAAAAAUUAGUCUUUCAUUCACAGUGAGACAGAUGUAGUUAAAUGAGAAGCUCUGUCAAAGUUAGGCAAGAAAUUAAUUGGACUGGAAUUUGGAAGUUUGUUGAUGAACAUUUAAAAAUAAUGCAGUUUGGGUGUUCAGCAGAUCAAAGGAAAACUGAAGUAGGGAAAAACUGCUGAGUUUUAAAAGCCAGUUUCACAGUAAGUACUUCAAGUUCCCUGUAAGCAAUUCAAAUAUUCCGAAGUUCAGGAGCACAGCUGCAACCACCCUCUGUAAUAUAAAGAAAUGUACUUUCUCUCCCCCUAAAAAGGUUAUCAUUAAAUCCUCUAAACAAUCCUUUAUGAGCAAAAUGAAUGCUGACCAAGCCAUGGAUCAGCAAAAUUAUAAGGAAAGAAUAAUUUUCUUCAGCUAAAAGAAAGAGAAUUUCAGAGAUUUGUGCUUUAAAAGUGAAAGACUUUUUUCUACACUCAAUUGGAAGUUGAACAACAUGUAUGGAAAUCAAAAUUUUUUCUUCUUUUCUUUUUUACUAGCUUUUUUGAUCUAUUUAUUGGAAACCAUAUGCUUUUCUAAUCAGAUAUAAAAGCUAAAACUUAAAAAUAUGAGAAGCAGAUACAAUACACCAGUGAAGCAGUUUCAACAUGCUUCAGUUACUGAUUUAAAUUAUAUUUAUAUGCUGUGCUAGUGGCAUAAAAAGAUUAGUGGAAGAAGAUGUUGGUUGAUUCAAAAUGAUAGACUGUACCAGGCCUGGCUGUUUCAUUAGAUUCAAUCUACAAGUCCCAAUUUGCAUAUUCACACCCAUUCUUCCAGUGUAGACAGGUCUUUCUCCUAAACUUAGAGGCUGCCAGCUGCAGAUAGUAAACAUGAAAUAGUGCAGUACUUGUUACAAAAUGUGAAUGUACUACUUUUAGGCAACAUCAAUUGAACUGCUUGUGUUAGACUCCUCUGAAUUUUGACACAAGUAAAAAUUCAUCUGGUGAACAAAAAGGUCUCUCCUCUUGCCUAAUGAAGUGAAUUGUAUUUGUUUGAUUUUGUAUUGUGUUACAUUUAAAGACCCAAAAAUGUUUCAAAUUUUGUGUUGUAGAUUGAUUGCAUCUUGUCAACUGCUCCUUUUGUCACAAUAUGAGAUCCAUAUAAACACUAAUUCCCAGAAUAAGUUGUUAUGAGGUAAAAUAAAUAGUAAAUAAUAAAAUA